UGUGCAUCCGUUUGGCAAUAG
ensembl:piRNA 21ur-1961 ncRNA